rnacentral:rRNA from 1 species
UACAGAGGGUGCGAGCGUUGUUCGGAAUUACUGGGCGUAAAGGGCGCGUAGGCGGCCUUCUAAGUCGAACGUGAAAUCCCCGGGCUCAACCCGGGAACUGCGUCCGAUACUGGAAGGCUUGAAUCCGGGGGAGGGAUGUGGAAUUCCAGGUGUAGCGGUGAAAUUCGUAGAUAUUCGCAAGAACACCAGUGGCGAAGGCGGCUCACUGGCCCGAUACUGACGCUGAGGCACGAAAGCGUGGGGAGCAAACAGG